rnacentral:rRNA from 1 species
AACGAACGCUGGCGGCGUGGAUAAGACAUGCAAGUCGAACGGGACAGACCGAGUAGCAAUAUUUGGAAUGUUCAGUGGCGAACGGGUGCGUAACACGUGGGUAACAUUCCGGAAAGCGGGGAAUAGCCCAGGGAAACUUGGAGUAAUACCGCAUGUGGCCGCAAGGCUAAAGACGGGGACCGCAAGGCCUGGCACUUUCCGAUUGGUCCGCGGCCUAUCAGCUAGUUGGCGGGGUAAUGGCCCACCAAGGCUACGACGGUUAGCUGGUCUUAGAGGACGACCAGCCACACUGGAACUGAGACACGGUCCAGACACCUACGGGUGGCAGCAGUCGAGAAUCUUUCACAAUGGGGGCAACCCUGAUGGAGCGACGCCGCGUGGAGGAUAAGGUCUUCGGAUUGUAAACUCCUGUCAUGCGAGAACAAGGUACUCAGGCUAAUAACCUGAUUGUUUGAUGGUACCGCAAGAGGAAGAGACGGCUAACUCUGUGCCAGCAGCCGCGGUAACAC